GACGAACGCUGGCGGCGUGCUUAACACAUGCAAGUCGAACGGAAAGGCCCUGCUUUUGUGGGGUGCUCGAGUGGCGAACGUGUGAGUAACACGUGAGUAACCUGCCCUUGACUUUGGGAUAACUUCAGGAAACUGGGGCUAAUACCGGAUAGGAGCUCCUGCUGCAUGGUGGGGGUUGGAAAGUUUCGGCGGUUGGGGAUGGACUCGCGGCUUAUCAGCUUGUUGGUGGGGUAGUGGCUUACCAAGGCUUUGACGGGUAGCCGGCCUGAGAGGGUGACCGGCCACAUUGGGACUGAGAUACGGCCCAGACUCCUACGGGAGGCCGCAGUGGGGAAUAUUGCACAAUGGGCGGAAGCCUGAUGCAGCAACGCCGCGUGCGGGAUGACGGCCUUCGGGUUGUAAACCGCUUUCGCCUGUGACGAAGCGUGAGUGACGGUAAUGGGUAAAGAAGCACCGGCUAACUACGUG
rnacentral:rRNA from 1 species